rnacentral:lncRNA from 1 species
UCUUAACAACAUAUGGACUGUGCUGUAGUGGCAUUUUUUAUUUUUGGAAACUUCAUUGCCUCAUGUAAACAUUAUAUAGGCGAUACAGCCUUAUGGUAAGAAAAAUGUAAAUGUUGAUGGGAUGUAUUAAAUGUCUGGAGGAGAAUAUGCUGCUGAGAGCCUUGAAACAUGGAGAGGAAACAUGGAACUGGUUCCUGCAUCUAUCAAAGAUGUUUGUUAAGUUGAAUUGUUCUUGCUUGCCUUUUAUAAAGGAAAGCGGCUAAAGGUCUGAAGGGUGGGCCUGACAGAUGGGCUUGCCUUACAUCAGAGAGAGCCUGAGAUCCAGAAAUAAGCUUUUUAACAAAGAACAAAUAUUCCUACAGUUCUGUGUGGGUCAUAGGCCAGAGUGUAAAGAGGAAGUUGAUUAAAGGACACUGCAGAUCUGGUCUUAUUUAGGACGAAAAUAGUACUGAAAAAAUGCUGAGCUGUCCACAUGUGACUGAGGGCUUCAUCAGUUCCUUACUCUUCAUUAGAAAAUGGUGCAUGAUCUACUCUAUAGAGUAAUUUUAGCUCCUCUCAGGGAAUCAAUUUAAAAAUACAUUUCAAUUUUGCUUUGUGUAUUAAAAGCCUUAAUAUUUGUACAACCUCUCACUUGAAAAUUCUACUCCCAGAAAUUUUUAUGUUUUUAAUCAUGAAUUAUUAACCUAUAUAUAUAUACGCACUCACCAUGAGCCAGCCAUAGUCUACACAUUUUGCAUGCAUCUAAAGCCUCAAUUAAUCCACACAGUUACCCUGUAAGAUAGUUACAAUUACAUUUCACACAGGAGGACACUGAGAUCCAAGAUGUUUAAGUAGCUUCCCUAAUGUCAUACAGCUUUUGGCACACAUGGCAGUAAAUCCAUAGGGUCUGGAUAGGGUCUGGUUCUUGACGACUGUACUUUUUUUUUUUUUUUUUUUUUUGUAGAUGUUGUCUCACUCUGUCACCCAGGCUGGAUUGCGGUGGCGCGAUCUCGGCUCACUGAAACCUCCGCCUCCUGGGCUCAAGCAAUUCUCUUGCCUCAGCCUCCCAAGUAGCUGGGAUUACAGGUGCGCCACCACACCCCACUAAUUCUUGUAGAGACAGGGUUUCACCAUGUUGGCCAGGCUGGUCUCAAACUCCUGACCUCAAGUGAACCGCUCACCUCGACCUACCAAAGUGCUGGGAUUACAGGCCUGAGCCACUGCACCUGGCCGAGGACUGUGCUCUUUAACACUAGGGAAUAUAUCUUCUCACAGGAAUGGGAAUAUCAGCAGAUCCCAGACAGUCAUAGUGAGAGGUGACAGCAUGCUGGCAGUCGUCGCAGCCCUCGCUCGCUCUUGGCGCCUCCUCGGCCUGGGCGCCCACUCUGGCCGCGCCUGAGGAGCCCUUCAGCCCGUCGCUGCACUGUGGGAGCCUCUUCCUGGGAUGGCCGAGGCAGGAGCCAGCUCCCUCAGCCUGAGGGGAAGUGCGGAGGGAGAGGCACGGGCAGGAACCGGGGCUGCGCGUAGCCCUUGCGGGCCAGCUAGAGUUCCGGGUUGGCGUGGGUUUGGCGGGCCCCGCCUCCCUGGGCAAUGAGGAGCUUAGCACCCGGACCAGCAGGGUUUAGCAACCGGGCCAGCAGCUGAGGAGGGUGCGCUGGGUCCCCCAGCAGUGCCAGCCUACCGGCGCUGCGCUCGAUUUCUCGCGGGGCCUUAGGUGCCUCCCCGCGGGGCAGGGCUCCGGACCUGCAGCCCGCCAUGCCUGAGCCUCUUCUCCCCUACCCCCACCCCGCCGUGGGCGCCUGCGCGCCAGAGCCUCCCCAGGAUCGCCGCCCCCUGCUCCAGGGCGACUGGUCCCAUCGACCGCCCAAGGGCUGAGGAGUGCAGGGGCACAGCGCAGGACUGGCGGCAGCUCCAUCUGCCGCCCCAGGUGCGGGAUCCACUGGGUGAAGCUAUCUGGGCUCCUGAGUCUAAUGGGGACUUGGAGAACGUUUAUGUCUAGCUAAGGGAUUGUAAAUACACCAAUCAGCACUCUGCAUCUAGCUCAAGGUUUGUAAACACACCAGUCAGCACCCUGUGUCUAGCUCAGGGUUUGUGGAUGCCCCAAUCCGCACUCUGUAUCUAGCUAAUCUAGUGGGGACUUGGGGAAUCUUUAUGUCUAGCUAAGGGGUUGUGAAUACACCAAUCCGCACUCUGUAUCUAGCUCAAGGUUUGUAAAUGCACCAAUCAGCACUCUGUGUCUAGCUCAGGGUUUGUAAAUACACUAAUCAGCACUCUGUAUCUAGCUAAUCUAGUGGGGACAUGGAGAACUUUUGUGUCUAGCUCAGGGAUUGUAAACGCACCAAUCAGCACCCUGUCAAAACGGACCAAUCAUUUCUCUGUAAAAUAGACCAAUUGGCUCUGUAAAAUGGACCAAUCAGCAGGAUGUGGGUGGGGCCAGAUAACAGAAUAAAAGCAGGCGGCCAGAGCCAGCAGUGCCAACCAGCUGGGGUCCCCUUCUGCCAUGUAGAGGCUUUGUUCUUUCAGUCUUUGCAAUAAAUCUUUCUGCUGCUUGCUCUUUGGGUUCACACUGCCUUUCUGAGCUGUAAGGCAGUGAAGGUCUCAUCACGAAAGUCUACAAUUUCACUCCUGAAGUCAUGGAGACCACGAACCUACAGGGAGGAACGAACAACUCCAGACAGGCCGCCUUAAGAGCUAUAAUUCUCACCGCGAAGGUCUGCAGCUUCACUCCUGAGACAGUGAGACCACAAACCCACUGGGAGGAACCAACAACUCCAGACGGGCCACCUUAAAAGCUGUAACACUCACUGCGAAGGUCCGCAGCUUCACUCCUGAGCCAGUGAGACAACGAACCCACCGGGAGGAACGAACAACUCCAGACGGGCCACCUUAAAAGCUGUAACACUCACCGCCAAGGUCCGCAGCUUCACUCCUGAGCCAGCGAGACCACGAACCAACCAGAAGGAAGAAACUCCGAACACAUCCAAACAUCAGAAGGAACAAACUCCAGACACGCCGCCUUUAAGAAUUGUAACACUUACUGCGAGGGUCCGCGGCUUCAUUCUUGAAGUCAGUGAGAUCAAGUACCCACCAAUUCCGGACACAAUAGUACGUUUUUUUAAAAGUUUAUAUACAAAGAAAUAAAAUUAUUUGUAAAAAAAUAAAAACUUAGAUAUUGAAGUUAUUGUGAAAGAUGACACGUUACUUGUUAUUGUGUAUUUUUACACUAAAAUUGAAUUUAAUUUUUAUUUCUAAUUUCGAUAUUACUGCAGAUCUAGCGCUUAUUUACUACAGAAAACAGACAUUUGAAUUCAAACGUGCUUUCUGAAUUUAAGUAUUUUUACACUAAAAUUGAAUUAAAUUUUUAUUUCUAAUUCCGAUAUUACUACAGAUCUAGCGCUUAUUUACUACAGAAAACAGACAUUUGAAUUCAAACGUGCUUUCUGAAUUUAAGUGUGUUUAUGAGCAGCACAUUUAGAGUCUCAUUGGCAUAUUUAAAAGUAUAGAUUCUUUCCAUCUAGAAUUUAAAAUAAUUCAAUAUUUUUCUAUGUCCCGAAAAUUCCAAACUUUACUCCUUAAAACCCUUGAAAUCCAAAAAAUUACAAGUUGCUGAAAAAGGGGUGUCUUAAAAUAUUAUAGUGUUGCCUAAUUCUUAUUUUUAUCUCUUUUAUGCUAUGGGGUAGAUUUUCUCCUAUGAAUUUGAUCCUUAAGUUAAUCAACCUACUAUAUACAUACAUAUGCACACACAUAUAUACUUACAAUGUAGACAUAUUGUAUGUAUCACCUAGCUGUAAUUAUUCUAUUUCAAUAAUAUUUUUUAGGAAGCAGAACAAAAAGUUAAUCAUUACUCCCAGGUAUUACUUGUUUCUGCAUGCCACUGUUUUCUAAUCUUUGAGAGUGCCUCAAAUUUAAGUAUAUCAUUCUGUCCAGUUUCUGUUUGCAAUAUUAACAAGAAUUCUUUCUCUUUCUACUUAAUGUAUAUAUUUUAAAAAAAAAAAUCCAUGCAGAUUUUGGUUAAAAUGCCAUUUUAGCAAUGGAAGUCCUUCCUUUAUUUUACUCAUAUCGUUCUAAAAAGGUUAGCAAAGUAAUUACUUAAAAGAACUUGCAAACUUUAAGCUUUCUUAAAACUUAAAGCAAACUUUAAUUUUGAGUUCACGGAUUAUAUUGUGAACCACUUAUUUAAAUAAAAGUGUUUAUAUUUUUCCUAAUAGAGUAUCGCUUCUGACACUGAAAAUGUUAAUAAUUGGUACACAGCUUUUAAAGCUUAUUUGAAACAAAACACACUGAUAUAGUUUGCAUGUGUGUGCCUGCCCACAUCUUAUGUCAAAAUGUAAUCCCUGAUGUUGGAGGUGUGGCCUGGUGGGAGGUGAUUGGCUCAUGGAGGUGGUUUCUCAUGAAUGGUUUAGCACCAUCCUCUUGGGUGCCCUCCUCUCAAUAGUGAGUUCUCGAGAGACUUGUUAUUUAAAAGUGUGUGGCACUUCCCCUCUCUCUCUCUUGCUCCUGCUCUGGCCAUGUGAUGUGACUGUUGCCCCUUCGCCUUCCACCAUGAUUGUGUCUUGAGGCAUCCCCAGAAGCUAAGCUGAUGCCAGCAUCGUGUUUUCUGUGCAGCCUGUAGAACGAUGAGCCAAUUAAACCUCUUUUCUUCAUAAAUUACCCAGUCUCAGGUAUUUCUUUACAGCAAUUUGAUAAUAGACUAAUAGAUGCACAAAUGUGUGUAUGAACCAUAGGCAAACACAAGAUUUCCAUGAAGUAAAUAUUUUCAAAUGAACAAUUAUGCCUAGCGUUUUUUAUUUGCACCCAUAUAUUUUAUGUCGUAUAGAAAGUAUGAAAGAUAACACAGAGAUGAAACUGCAAUCACACAGUUAAAAACAUGUAAUUCUAGUCUGAAAAAUUUUCCUCUUGGUCACAGUAUAUUCAAAAAUAAUACCAAAAAGAUUAAAACUAUUUUCAAGAUGGCCCAUUUCCAAGGGAUUUUUUUUUUGAGAAUUUUGGGGUUCUUGUCAAUUGAUCUGAAAUAAUUCUAAAGGCCCUCUAUAUUCCUAUUUCUCCUUUCCCUGUUCCAACAGGGUGCUAUGUACAUAAUUAUGCAGUAUUGCAAUUACCCAUUCUAAUAUCGAUUUGAUGUACUAUAUUGAAAACUUCAUAAGCCUAGAAAUAUAUUUUAAUUGUGCUUUUACUCAGUGGUGUAUUUAUAAUAAAUGGGUUGCUAUAGUAACAUUAUUUGAUAGCUGGAGCAGAUAAUUUUUUAACAACCUCCCAUUUGACCAAAUUAUUUUCAGUAAUAGUGUAACAAAUAUAUUUUAUCUGUAAACUAAAAUUUGUGCUUACCAACCAAAAAUACUACACCUCAAAGUUUGCACUCUACUUUAAGAACAAAUACAAAUUCCAAGUGGCCCCAUAGGAUAAGAAGAUUGUGGCAACUCAAGUUCCGUUUUUCAUCUAUAUAAUAUGCUACCUUUGUUUGCUUAGAAACAGCUGUUUAAAUGAAGGAAUAUUUAUAUAUUAUAAAAGCUGGACAGUAGUUGCAACACUGGUUUCAAAUAUUUAUACUAACAAGAUAUUGGGGUAGGUAGAGUACUUUAUGACUAAUUUUGCUUACAAUUGCCAGUAUAUAGCGAUAAUAAAAAAGAAGACUGACUUUUGGUUGCGUUUAUGAUUGUCUUCAAAUUCUCUAUGAACAACACACCCCCUAAUUGCCUGCACCUGGGACAGACCAUUCCUUACACCCUGACCUUGGCACACCUUGUAUUGCUUUUAUUCCCAGUGUCUAGACUGUGUCUUCUAUAUCAUAUAGGCUAAAAAAUUUUUUUAUGAAUGGGUUAUUAAGAAGUACGCUUAUGCUUGUUAUUUUAUUUUUUCAUAGACUUUUGGGAAAUACUAUUCGGCACAAGAAUAACUAGAAUAUGGCUCUGGUUCUUGAUAUGAUUGUUCUCUGUUACAACUAAAAGCCACAAAACCACGCGCUUUACUUCUCAUAGUUUAAGAAUCAAAAGGGCAUCUAACACCAAGUGAGAAUCACUUCUUACUGUAGUUUGUACAGCAGGCUUGGGCAUCCCCCCAAAUAUAUUUCAAAAUGAAAACAAAUAUGAUACUUAUAUUAUACCAUUAGUAGACUAUCCAAAAUGCUGUGCACAUGGAAUACAUGUGAAUUCCCUUCUGCUUGAUUUAUGAUGCCGGCCACUUGGAAGAGCAAAGAGAGAUAAAGGAGAAGCCCAGGCAAGCAUGCUGGCUAAUGAGAGAUCAAGACCCUGUCAUCCCAGACACUUCUGCUGCCGUGAUCAACAGCCUGCUAACUGCCAGUAUACGAGCUACCACCUGACUCCCCAGCUAGACACAGUGCUAAGUCUUCAUGCCUGGAAUAAUGUCUUGUAGACAUAGAAGACAGAAGACAGUCAAUUUGAGAGUGGAUGGUGAAGGAAUAGGUGGCUGAAUCUUUGCACAUUGUUAGGAUAUCAUCUGGCUCAUUAUUUUCAGUGUCUCUGGACACUGAUAAGCACUUUCUAAGAACGCUGCUGGAAGGGUAGGAGAGGUUUGGAGGGGAUCUCCUCUCAUUACACCAUUCGCCCAUACACAGUACACACAUGUAUUAACUGAUAUCAGAAGAAAGCAGCUGAAGAUCUGCUUCCAGAUGUCUCAGUGGGGAAACACAGUCCCAAUGCAGAAUAAAAACCCCAUUGAGCAUAGGUACAGCCCAAUAAAUGGUAGUUACUUUUCCCCCCAAAGACUUUUUUUUAAAAUCAGUUGUAGGGUCACAAGAAAUGAGCAGGAAGUAUAGAGUUUCCAUAUACCCCUUCCCCUGCCAACCUCCUCCACUACCAACAUCCUCAUUAGAGAGGUACAUUUGUUACAACUGACGAACCUACAUUGACACAUCAUUACCACCCAAAGUCCAUAGUUUACAUUACAGCUCACUCUUAGGGUUGUACAUUCUAUGGGUUUGGACAAAUAUAUGACUACAUGUAUCCACCAUUGCAGUAUCACACAGGAUAGUUUCACUGCCCUAAAAAUCUCCCUUGCUCCACUUUUUUUGCCUUUCCUCCUAACCUCAGGUAACCACUGAUCCUUUUACUAUCUCCACAGUUUUGCCUUUCCCAGAAUGUCAUAUAGUUGGAAUCAUACAGUAUGUAGACAUUUUCAGAUUGGCUUCUUUCAUUUAGCAAUAAUGCAUUGAAGUUUCUUCCUUGUCUUUUCAUGGCUUUAUAAAGUUAUAGAGUUAUAACUCAUUUAUUUUUAGUACUGAAUAACAGCUCCUUGUUUUGAUGUACCACAGUUUAUGUAUCCAUUCCUCUUCUGAAGGACAUCUUGCUUGCUUCCAGCAAUUAUAAAUAAACAUCCAUAUGCAGGUUUUUAUGUGUAUAGUUGCCUUUUUAAAUUUGUUUUUGAAUUAUUUGCUUAAACUCAGAGGCAAAAACAUAUAAUCCCUCACAUUUUGGAGUUAGACAACUUCUGCCCAGUGCUGCCAAUUAUUGGUCAUAUAAUCUCAAGCAAUUUAUUUUUUCUUUCUUGACUUUGCAUGAUCAAGCAUCUGCAUAAGGAAGAAACUAGAACCAUGGUUAAGAAGGUUUUUCUGAAAUUAGAAGAAGUAAUGCUUAAAAAGUAAUGACAGGUGUCAUGUAUGAUCACUGGCUAGAACAGUUAUAAGAAGUUAUCAUGAAUGAUAAAAAUUACCACUGAAAAUAGUUAUCGGUAAUGCUAACAUUAGCAUUGUUAUUAAUUACUAAUAUUAAAAUUAUUAUUUUAAUGCUAAUAGUUGUUACAAGUGAUAAUAGCUAUUAAUUGUUAUAGUUAACAUUAAUGAUAAUAUUUGUAAGUCCUUAAGAUGUACUAGUCAACAUUCUCAGUGCUGUCCAUGUAGUAACUCUUCACUCUUACUGUAAGUGGUUGGUUCUAUGUAUUAUACAGGUGAGGAAAUUAAGACCCAAAGAGUCUAAGUAACUUCUCUAAAGUUCUAAAACUAGUAAUUUGCCAGAGCUGGAAUUUGAAUCUGCCUCUAAAAUCUGUGCUUUUAGUAGAGAAUAUAAUUCAUAAUAAAUAUUAAAUUAGUUU